UGCAUUUGCAACCUGAGCUCAGACGUGAUUACCCGCUGAACUUAAGCAUAUCAUUUAGCGGAGGAAAAGAAACUAACUAGGAUUCCCUUAGUAACGGC
rnacentral:rRNA from 1 species